rnacentral:rRNA from 1 species
GUCUUCGGAUCGUAAAGCUCUGUCCUAUGGGAAGAACACAAUGACGGUACCAUAGGAGGAAGCCCCGGCUAACUACGUGCCAGCAGCCGCGGUAAUACGUAGGGGGCAAGCGUUAUCCGGAAUCACUGGGCGUAAAGGGUGCGUAGGCGGUCUAUCAAGCCAGAAGUGAAAGGCAUUGGCUCAACCAAUGUAAGCUUUUGGAACUGAUGGACUUGAGUGCAGGAGAGGAAAGUGGAAUUCCUAGUGUAGAGGUGAAAUUCGUAGAUAUUAGGAGGAACACCAGUGGCGAAGGCGACUUUCUGGACUGUAACUGACGCUGAGGCACGAAAGUGUGGGGAGCGAACAGGAUUAGAUACCCUGGUAGUCCACACCGUAAACGAUGAAUACUAGGUGUCGGGGGUCGAACCUCGGUGCCGCAGCUAACGCAUUAAGUAUUCCGCCUGGGGAGUACGCACGCAAGUGUG